rnacentral:antisense_RNA from 1 species
GAAGAAGGUGACAAGACUAGAUCUCAUUAUCUGAAAAGCGUUUUCUGGCUUCUUCUAUUGACUAGACCCAUAUACAAGGCCACUUCCUAGUGUCUAUUGCACCAUCAAUGCUGAAUUUCUCUGAUUUGGACCUCAGCUCUGCCAAUUUCAACCUGGGAGGCAGCACCUUGGCCAGCAGACUUAGAAUUCUGGUGCUAUUGACCAGGCUCCACAUGAGGACUGGACAGCAGGAAAAAGCUAUCACAGCUGAGGAAAGCUGCAUGUCGAACAGAUGACUUAAACUCCUAUUUUCUGAUUCCAAGCUCACCAAAGCAACUUUCUGAUUAUAAUUUAGCUUCUCUAUAAAAAGGAAAAGUACAAGUGCAAGUCAUGCUGACAGGAGAGCUCAGGUCUCCUGAGAUUUUAUUUCUUAUUGCACAUUAGUAAACUGACAUUAUGGUUUUCUACAUCAGUGUCUUGUAGCUUGACUAAUGCUGGGUCAAUGCCCGGGAGGUAAAGCCACUCUUGAUGUGCUGGUCAAAACCGCUGAUCAGGAUUCUGACUCUGCAAGGUUGCUGUCCAGGCUGAAACCAUGAAGAAGUCAUCAUGGUAAGGUGACCCAGUUGCCCUUUCCUAGUUGAAACUUCAGUUAUCUCUGUGUGUAUCUUCAUUCAAACUGCAGGCCUCUGUGCAGGUAUAGCAAUGAACAGAGCAGAAACUAUCCCAGAGGAGGCACUUGCCUUAGUGCAGCAUCAUUAAAAAAAGGUGUGGAAGUGGAUAUUGAGAGAUGCUGUCAUUAAAUAACACCUUCGCCACUAAUUAAUUACAUGACUUUAGAAAAGCCACAACCUCCUCAAGCCUAAAAACCCACAUCUAUAAAAUGGGAAUAAUGUUGCCAAAUGAAUCCCUUCAACGUUUGUUCCCUUUCAAGGAAGCUGCCACAUAAAAAUGUAUGAAUCACGGGCAAUUGAAAUUCUCUUUUUCUCCAAGGCAAACUCACAAAACUGUAUCUCAAAACUGCAGGAUAUCAGGCCGGGAGACGUGGCUCACACCUGUAAUCC